GAUGAACGCUGGCGGCGUGCCUAAUACAUGCAAGUCGAGCGAACAGACGAGGAGCUUGCUCCUCUGACGUUAGCGGCGGACGGGUGAGUAACACGUGGAUAACCUACCUAUAAGACUGGGAUAACUUCGGGAAACCGGAGCUAAUACCGGAUAAUAUAUUGAACCGCAUGGUUCAAUAGUGAAAGACGGUUUUGCUGUCACUUAUAGAUGGAUCCGCGCCGCAUUAGCUAGUUGGUAAGGUAACGGCUUACCAAGGCGACGAUGCGUAGCCGACCUGAGAGGGUGAUCGGCCACACUGGAACUGAGACACGGUCCAGACUCCUACGGGAGGCAGCAGUAGGGAAUACUCCGCAAUGGGCGAAAGACUGACGGAGCAACGCCGCGUGAGUGAUGAAGGUCUUCGGAUCGUAAAACUCUGUUAUUAGGGAAGAACAAAUGUGUAAGUAACUAUGCACGUAUUGACGGUACCUAAUCAGAAAGCCACGGCUAACUACGUG
rnacentral:rRNA from 1 species